rnacentral:rRNA from 1 species
CCUACGGGAGGCUGCAGUGAGGAAUAUUGGUCAAUGGACGAGAGUCUGAACCAGCCAAGUAGCGUGAAGGAUGACUGCCCUAUGGGUUGUAAACUUCUUUUAUUUGGGAAUAAAAUGUUCCACGUGUGGGAUUUUGUAUGUACCAUAUGAAUAAGGAUCGGCUAACUCCGUGCCAGCAGCCGCGGUAAUACGGAGGAUCCGAGCGUUAUCCGGAUUUAUUGGGUUUAAAGGGUGCGUAGGUGGAUUGUUAAGUCAGUUGUGAAAGUUUGCGGCUCAACCGUAAAAUUGCAGUUAAAACUGGCAGUCUUGAGUACAGUAGAGGUGGGCGGAAUUUGUGGUGUAGCGGUGAAAUGCUUAGAUAUCACGAAGAACUCCGAUUGCGAAGGCAGUUCACUGGACUGCAACUGACACUGAGGCUCGAAAGUGUGGGUAUCAAACAGGAUUAGAUACCCCGGUAGUC